rnacentral:rRNA from 1 species
AGCGAACGCUGGCGGCAGGCCUAACACAUGCAAGUCGAACGAACUCUUCGGAGUUAGUGGCGGACGGGUGAGUAACACGUGGGAACGUGCCUUUUGGUUCGGAAUAACUCAGGGAAACUUGUGCUAAUACCGAAUGUGCCCUUCGGGGGAAAGAUUUAUCGCCAUUAGAGCGGCCCGCGUCUGAUUAGCUAGUUGGUGAGGUAACGGCUCACCAAGGCGACGAUCAGUAGCUGGUCUGAGAGGAUGACCAGCCACACUGGGACUGAGACACGGCCCAGACUCCUACGGGAAGCAGCAGUGGGGAAUCUUGCGAAAUGGGCGAAAGCCUGACGCAGCCAUGCCGCGUGAAUGAUGAAGGUCUUAGGAUUGUAAAAUUCUUUCACCGGGGACGAUAAUGACGGUACCCGGAGAAGAAGCCCCGGCUAACUUCGUG